rnacentral:rRNA from 1 species
AGCGAACGUUUGCGGCGGGCUUAACACAUGCAAGUCGAACGGGCUGUUCCUUCGGGGGCAGUCAGUGGCGCACGGGUGCGUAACACGUAGGUAAUCAACCCUCUGGUUGGGGAUAACACUUCGAAAGGAGUGCUAAUACCCGGUAUGGCGCAGCGGUCUUCGGAUCGCGGCGAGAAAGACCCGCAAGGGUUGCCAGAGGACGAGCCUGCGGCCCAUCAGCUAGUUGGCGAGGUAACGGCUCACCAAGGCGAAGACGGGUAGCUGGUCUGAGAGGAUGAUCAGCCACACUGGAACUGAGACACGGUCCAGACUCCUACGGGAGGCAGCAGUGGGGAAUAUUGCGCAAUGGGCGAAAGCCUGACGCAGCCACGCCGCGUGAGCGAUGAAGGCCUGGGUCGUAAAGCUCUGUGGGAGGAGAAGAAUAAAGACCUGUGAAGAGCAGGCCUUGACGGUAUCUCCUUACGCAAGCACCGGCUAACUCCGU